AUGGCCCUUAAGAGACGUCCCCGCUGUAGGGUGGGACGGGGCUGCGCCCGGUGCCGCCGAGUGUCGGGGGAGCCGCGUGAAGCCGGUGCAGUGUCCCACAGAGCAGAAAGCGCUCGCUGUGGGAUGGGACCGGAGCACCUGGAUGUCACCACUGCCACGAGACAGGGCCAUUCCUGCCCUGCGAUGGAUGCACGCCGCAUUCGGACACAUCAGAGAGGGGCUGAAUCGUGGGGUGACUUGCUGGGACACCGCAGCCGCCGCGUGCAUGGCAGCGGGCUGGCCAAAGGGGCCGUUUAUGGGGCUUUGAGCAUCUCCAGCCACCUCCUGCCCCUUCCACCCGCAUCCCCCGGGAUGGGACUGCUGGGGAAAUGGGGCACAGCCCGUGUGCCUUCUGCCACUGUCCUCCCAAGCCGUGUCCCCGGGGUCUGCUCGUGGAGGCGCGGGUCCUGUAGGGGCGGCUGGCUCAGCCCUGGCCGCAGGCACCCGGGGACCAGGCAGGAGAGGAGGCAGCUGCUAUGCAGGGGAGGAAGAAACUUUUGCCCCUCUUCUUUCUUUCCCCUUUGUCUGGCAGCCUGCUUGCCCAAGGAAAAGCACUUUAUGGGGUGUAGCUCUGUGUGUCCGUGUCUAUUUGUCCCCCCCCCCCCAGCUCCCAGCAAUUUUAGGCUCCGGUCGGUGCCAGCCCAGCGUGUCCGAGGGCGCGCCGGGCAGAAAGAAGCUGAGCUUUGGCCUUUCUGUGUGCUGCCAUGGCAUAGGGAACCGCGGGGCCUCUCCCAGCUCCCAUUUUGCAAGGAGCUUUCUUUGUCCUGCGGCAAUACAGAGCCUGGCUGGGAGCAGGAGGUUUUGGUCGCAGCCACGCGUCUCGCCCAUGCCCAGGGCGAUGCCGCCGAUGGGUUUGGGGUUGGUGUGAAGGAGGAGGGCUCAUCCUCGUGGGUCCCACCAGGGCAAGGAGCACCAGACCCCCGCUGCCUUCCCCAAGGGGGGCCCCGGCCUGCCCGGUGGCACCGCCACCCUCCGAGCCGCCGCCGGGCUUGUCCUGGUGCUUGUCCCGCUGCCGCUGGGCAGCUGCAGCAUCCCCCGGCCGUGGCGUCUUCGUGCUACUGCAGGUGGAGCGCCUUGCCUGCCCGAGAGCUGCAGCUCCGCUCAAAAAGCGCAAACGCGCAAAGAUUCGGAGCUUUCGUCCGUGUCGGCCGUGCGAAAACCCUCCCAUAA
rnacentral:lncRNA from 1 species